CGUCACAACGAUGCGCGGAGGCUGUCCCAUUUGGCAAAAAUUCUGAGGAUGCUUAAAAUGCAGCCUUCAAAUGCGUCCUCCUUUUCCCCGAAUUCUGAGGAUGCACCGCGACCAUCCUUACUGGCCUUGCCUGCCAUAAGAUUUCCCAAGGUGCUUUGCUCGCUUUUUUUUUUAGUAGUUUAAGAAGAAGAAAGAAGGUGGAUUUUCAUCAAGACUAAUGGAAAGCAGCAGCAGCGCUGGCAGUAGUGCUGAGUACAGCUAUGGAGCAGGGAGCAUACAGAGGAGUUGAUAAAACUCUGUGGGCAAAAUGACCACCUCUUUACCGGGGCCAAGAACACUGCCGCAGUCGGAUGGAGAACAAUCCUGCAAAAAACGGGUCUGGAGGGUGAAGUUGAGCCACAACAGGCCAAAAAAAAGUGGGACAACUUGG